UACGAAGGGGGCUAGCGUUGCUCGGAAUCACUGGGCGUAAAGCGCACGUAGGCGGAUCUUUAAGUCAGGGGUGAAAUCCUGGAGCUCAACUCCAGAACUGCCUUUGAUACUGGGGAUCUCGAGUCCGGGAGAGGUGAGUGGAACUGCGAGUGUAGAGGUGAAAUUCGUAGAUAUUCGCAAGAACACCAGUGGCGAAGGCGGCUCACUGGCCCGGUACUGACGCUGAGGAGCGAAAGCUAGGGGAGCAAACGGG
rnacentral:rRNA from 1 species